UAGUACCGAAGUUCCUGAUGUCACACUGCCGAGAAAAGCUUCUAGUGAGAAAACAGCGGCCCGUACCGCAAACCGACACAGGUAGUCGAGGAGAGAAUCCUAAGGUGAGCGAGAGAACUCUCGUUAAGGAACUCGGCAAAAUGACCCCGUAACUUCGGGAGAAGGGGUGCUGAUCAUACGAUCAGCCGCAGUGAAUAGGCCCAAGCGACUGUUUAUCAAAAACACAGGUCUCUGCAAAAUCGUAAGAUGAAGUAUAGGGGCUGACGCCUGCCCGGUGCUGGAAGGUUAAGAGGAGUGCUUAGCGCAAGCGAAGGUACGAAUUGAAGCCCCAGUAAACGGCGGCCGUAACUAUAACGGUCCUAAGGUAGCGAAAUUCCUUGUCGGGUAAGUUCCGACCCGCACGAAAGGCGUAACGAUUUGGGCACUGUCUCAACGAGAGACUCGGUGAAAUUUUAGUACCUGUGAAGAUGCAGGUUACCCGCGACAGGACGGAAAGACCCCAUGGAGCUUUACUGUAGUUUGAUAUUGAGUGUCUGUACCGCAUGUACAGGAUAGGUAGGAGCCGUAGAAAUCGGAACGCUAGUUUCGAUGGAGGCGCUGGUGGGAUACUACCCCUGCGUUAUGGCCACUCUAACCCGCACCACU
rnacentral:rRNA from 1 species